rnacentral:rRNA from 1 species
AGCAUUUGCUGUACCGCGUUGACGGAGCGAAGCGACGUCAAACCGAUAAAACAGCAGUGUAAAGUGAGCCGCAGGGCGCUUUGCGCGACAGCGCAAAGGCAGGCGGUUUCGCGUAGCGAAAGCGAAUGCUUUGGGGUGGGGUGACUGCGUACCUUUUGUAUAAUGGGUCAGCGACUUAUAUUCUGUAGCAAGGUUAACCGAAUAGGGGAGCCGGAGGGAAACCGAGUCUUAAUUGGGCGUUAAGUUGCAGGGUAUAGACCCGAAACCCGGUGAUCUAGCCAUGGGCAGGUUGAAGGUUGGGUAACACUAACUGGAGGACCGAACCGACUAAUGUUGAAAAAUUAGCGGAUGACCUGUGGCUGGGGGUGAAAGGCCAAUCAAACCGGGAGAUAGCUGGUUCUCCCCGAAAGCUAUUUAGGUAGCGCCUCGUGAAUUCAUCUCCGGGGGUAGAGCACUGUUUCGGCUAGGGGGCCAUCCCGGCUUACCAACCCGAUGCAAACUGCGAAUACCGGAGAAUGUUAUCACGGGAGACACACGGCGGGUGCUAACGUCCGUCGUGAAGAGGGAAACAACCCAGACCGCCAGCUAAGGUCCCAAAGUCAUGGUUAAGUGGGAAACGAUGUGGGAAGGCCCAGACAGCCAGGAUGUUGGCUUAGAAGCAGCCAUCAUUUAAAGAAAGCGUAAUAGCUCACUGGUCGAGUCGGCCUGCGCGGAAGAUGUAACGGGGCUAAACCAUGCACCGAAGCUGCGGCAGCGACACUGUGUGUUGUUGGGUAGGGGAGCGUUCUGUAAGCCUGUGAAGGUGUGUCGUGAGGCAUGCUGGAGGUAUCAGAAGUGCGAAUGCUGACAUAAGUAACGAUAAAGCGGGUGAAAAGCCCGCUCGCCGGAAGACCAAGGGUUCCUGUCCAACGUUAAUCGGGGCAGGGUGAGUCGACCCCUAAGGCGAGGCCGAAAGGCGUAGUCGAUGGGAAACGGGUUAAUAUUCCCGUACUUGGUGUUACUGCGAAGGGGGGACGGAGAAGGCUAUGUUGGCCGGGCGACGGUUGUCCCGGUUUAAGCGUGUAGGUGUGUGUUCCAGGUAAAUCCGGUUCACUUUAACACUGAGGCGUGACGACGAGGCACUACGGUGCUGAAGCAACAAAUGCCCUGCUUCCAGGAAAAGCCUCUAAGCAUCAGGUAACAUCAAAUCGUACCCCAAACCGACACAGGUGGUCAGGUAGAGAAUACCAAGGCGCUUGAGAGAACUCGGGUGAAGGAACUAGGCAAAAUGGUGCCGUAACUUCGGGAGAAGGCACGCUGACACGUAGGUGAAGUGAUUUACUCAUGGAGCUGAAGUCAGUCGAAGAUACCAGCUGGCUGCAACUGUUUAUUAAAAACACAGCACUGUGCAAACACGAAAGUGGACGUAUACGGUGUGACGCCUGCCCGGUGCCGGAAGGUUAAUUGAUGGGGUCAGCGCAAGCGAAGCUCCUGAUCGAAGCCCCGGUAAACGGCGGCCGUAACUAUAACGGUCCUAAGGUAGCGAAAUUCCUUGUCGGGUAAGUUCCGACCUGCACGAAUGGCGUAAUGAUGGCCAGGCUGUCUCCACCCGAGACUCAGUGAAAUUGAACUCGCUGUGAAGAUGCAGUGUACCCGCGGCAAGACGGAAAGACCCCGUGAACCUUUACUAUAGCUUGACACUGAACAUUGAGCCUUGAUGUGUAGGAUAGGUGGGAGGCUUUGAAGUGUGGACGCCAGUCUGCAUGGAGCCGACCUUGAAAUACCACCCUUUAAUGUUUGAUGUUCUAACGUGGACCCGUUACCCGGGUUGCGGACAGUGUCUGGUGGGUAGUUUGACUGGGGCGGUCUCCUCCUAAAGAGUAACGGAGGAGCACGAAGGUUGGCUAAUCCUGGUCGGACAUCAGGAGGUUAGUGCAAUGGCAUAAGCCAGCUUGACUGCGAGCGUGACGGCGCGAGCAGGUGCGAAAGCAGGUCAUAGUGAUCCGGUGGUUCUGAAUGGAAGGGCCAUCGCUCAACGGAUAAAAGGUACUCCGGGGAUAACAGGCUGAUACCGCCCAAGAGUUCAUAUCGACGGCGGUGUUUGGCACCUCGAUGUCGGCUCAUCACAUCCUGGGGCUGAAGUAGGUCCCAAGGGUAUGGCUGUUCGCCAUUUAAAGUGGUACGCGAGCUGGGUUUAGAACGUCGUG